rnacentral:rRNA from 1 species
UACGAAGGGUGCAAGCGUUACUCGGAAUUACUGGGCGUAAAGCGUGCGUAGGCGGUUUGUUAAGUCCGCUGUGAAAGCCCUGGGCUCAACCUGGGAAUGGCAGUGGAUACUGGAAAGCUAGAGUGCGGUAGAGGGUAGUGGAAUUCCCGGUGUAGCAGUGAAAUGCGUAGAGAUCGGGAGGAACACCAGUGGCGAAGGCGGCUACCUGGACCAGCACUGACACUGAGGCACGAAAGCGUGGGGAGCAAACAGG